UACGUAGGGGGCAAGCGUUGUCCGGAUUUAUUGGGCGUAAAGAGCGUGUAGGCGGCCAUACAGGUCCGUUGUGAAAACUGGAGGCUUAACCUCCAGACGUCGAUGGAAACCGUAUGGCUAGAGUCCGGAAGAGGAGAGUGGAAUUCCUGGUGUAGCGGUGAAAUGCGCAGAUAUCAGGAGGAACACCAAUAGCGAAGGCAGCUCGCUGGGACGGUACUGACGCUAAGGCGCGAAAGCGUGGGGAGCGAACAGG
rnacentral:rRNA from 1 species